rnacentral:lncRNA from 1 species
GACCUUCACAGGAAUAUACCUUGUGCUUUGUGACAAGCUAUGACAAGGCCUUCAGGUUUGUCAGGAUGUUCCUCCCAUCCCCUCCCUUCUCCUCUACAAUAUUCUGGAGUUGCUCAAACCUGUAUUUGAACAAAAGGCAUUUGAAGCAGCUGCAUCUGAAUGGAAAUUGGACAGGUUUCAAACAAAGAGGAAGACACAUGCUGACCUUCAUGGUCACAUCAGAUCCCAGUCUGCCCCCUUCACCAUGUUUUCUUGGAUGCACAGAUUUAUUCCUACAGGAAACAGCCAGAAUCACCUCCUGGAAAUUUGUCUCACAAUAUGUGCUGGUUAUAAAGUUGUUUUGAAGCCCGGGUCAUUGACGUCAGCACAUCACAUCCAUUCAGCCUUGGAUCUUUCCUGACAGUGUUUUUUAUGCACCUGUGAGCCAGCAGCAUGUACAAG